GGGUGAGUAAUACAUCGGAACGUGCCCAGUCGUGGGGGAUAACUACUCGAAAGAGUAGCUAAUACCGCAUACGAUCUGAGGAUGAAAGCGGGGGACCUUCGGGCCUCGCGCGAUUGGAGCGGCCGAUGGCAGAUUAGGUAGUUGGUGGGAUAAAAGCUUACCAAGCCGACGAUCUGUAGCUGGUCUGAGAGGACGACCAGCCACACUGGGACUGAGACACGGCCCAGACUCCUACGGGAGGCAGCAGUGGGGAAUUUUGGACAAUGGGCGAAAGCCUGAUCCAGCAAUGCCGCGUGCAGGAUGAAGGCCUUCGGGUUGUAAACUGCUUUUGUACGGAACGAAAAAGCUCCUUCUAAUACAGGGGGCCCAUGACGGUACCGUAAGAAUAAGCACCGGCUAACUACGUGCCAGCAGCCGCGGUAAUACGUAGGGUGCGAGCGUUAAUCGGAAUUACUGGGCGUAAAGCGUGCGCAGGCGGUUAUGUAAGACAGAUGUGAAAUCCCCGGGCUCAACCUGGGAACUGCAUUUGUGACUGCAUGGCUAGAGUACG
rnacentral:rRNA from 1 species